AAUGAAGUGCCUGAACAAAGGGCUAUUGUGAUAGGAUAGAUUAUGUAUAAAAUGCCUUCAUUA
rnacentral:tRNA from 1 species